UACGGAGGGUGCAAGCGUUAUCCGGAAUCCUUGGGUUUAAAGGGUCCGUAGGCGGUUUAGUAAGUCAGUGGUGAAAACCCAUCGCUCAACGGUGGAACGGCCAUUGAUACUGCUAGACUUGAAUUAUUGGGAAGCAACUAGAAUAUGUAGUGUAGCGGUGAAAUGCUUAGAGAUUACAUGGAAUACCAAUUGCGAAGGCAGGUUGCUACCAAUACAUUGACGCUGAUGGACGAAAGCGUGGGGAGCGAACAGG
rnacentral:rRNA from 1 species